rnacentral:misc_RNA from 1 species
GUUCAAUGUUAGAAGAUGUUGGGGCAACAUUGCAUUUGUCUUGGAACAAUGUGUCAAAUCUGAACCACAUAUCUGGCUCUAGUGCAAUUUCAAGUUGCUAAAUGCAAUAUAUUUUCGUUCACGAAGAGCGGUGUAACGUCUUGUUUUUCUCCAUUGUGAUAAAAAGACGAUGAACUAAUGGUCAUUAUUCUCACAGGGCGCACCUUUAUUGUUGAAUAAGUAUGUAUCAUGUGCAUGAAGUUGAGAAAUCAGCUUAUAACCGGGGUGUGAUGCGAAGGGGAUCCCAAGGAGUUGUGAUAUGGCUACGACUAAUUUCCUUGAUUGAGAGACAACCACUUAAGGCCAUUGUCAGUUCAAACUCAUCAUGAAGCAUCUGAAGUACUUUCCUA